AUGUCGCCCUCGAAGGACACCUCACUUCCCUUCAAGCUUAAGAGAAAACAGUUCCCCAUCCGCCUGAGUUUUGCGAUGACCAUUAACAAGGCACAGGGUUAA
rnacentral:rRNA from 1 species